UAUAUUUUAGUGUAAGAUGCACGAUAAAUUUUGAUUUUAUAAGAUAUAGUUUAAUUCUAUAAAAUAUAA
rnacentral:tRNA from 1 species